AUGGCUCAGGAUGAACGCUGGCGGCGUGCCUAACACAUGCAAGUCGAACGAAGCAUAACUGACGGAGAUUCGUCAAAGCCGGUUAUGACUUAGUGGCGGACGGGUGAGUAAUGUAUGAGCAACCUGCCUUUCAGAGGGGGACAACAGUUGGAAACGACUGCUAAUACCGCAUAAUGUACGGAGGGGACAUCCCCACUGUACCAAAGGAGCAAUCCGCUGAAAGAUGGGCUCAUAUCUGAUUAGCUAGUUGGCGGGGUAACGGCCCACCAAGGCGACGAUCAGUAGCCGGACUGAGAGGUUGAACGGCCACAUUGGGACUGAGAUACGGCCCAGACUCCUACGGGAGGCAGCAGUGGGGAAUAUUGGGCAAUGGGCGAAAGCCUGACCCAAGCAACGCCGCGUGAAGGAAGAAGGUCUUCGGAUUGUAAACUUCUUUUAUGAGGGACGAAGGACGUGACGGUACCUCAUGAAUAAGCCACGGCUAACUACGUGCCAGCAGCAGC
rnacentral:rRNA from 1 species